rnacentral:rRNA from 1 species
CCACGGAAUUCUGCAGAGAUGCGGAAGUGCCUUCGGGAACCGUGAGACAGGUGCUGCAUGGCUGUCGUCAGCUCGUGUUGUGAAAUGUUGGGUUAAGUCCCGCAACGAGCGCAACCCUUAUCCUUUGUUGCCAGCGAUUCGGUCGGGAACUCAAAGGAGACUGCCGGUGAUAAACCGGAGGAAGGUGGGGAUGACGUCAAGUCAUCAUGGCCCUUACGGCCAGGGCUACACACGUGCUACAAUGGCGCAUACAAAGAGAAGCGACCUCGCGAGAGCAAGCGGACCUCAUAAAGUGCGUCGUAGUCCGGAUUGGAGUCUGCAACUCGACUCCAUGAAGUCGGAAUCGCUAGUAAUCGUGGAUCAGAAUGCCACGGUGAAUACGUUCCCGGGCCUUGUACACACCGCCCGUCACACCAUGGGAGUGGGUUGCAAAAGAAGUGGAUAGCUUAACCUUCGGGAGGGCGUUCACCACUUUGUGAUUCAUGACUGGGGUGAAGUCGUAACAAGGUAAGCGUAGAUGA